rnacentral:rRNA from 1 species
CCUACGGGGGGCAGCAGUGAGGAAUAUUGGUCAAUGGCCGGAAGGCUGAACAAGCCAUGCCGCGUGAAGGUCAGUGCCCUAUGGGCGUUAAACUUCUUUUGUGCGGGAGCAAUAAUGGUCACGUGUGGCCAGACGAGAGUACCGUACGAAUAAGCAUCGGCUAACUCCGUGCCAGCAGCCGCGGUAAUACGGGGGAUGCAAGCGUUAGCCGGAUUUAUUGGGUUUAAAGGGUGCGUAGGCUGUGAGGUAAGUCAGCGGUGAAAUGCCCCCGCUCAACGGGGUGAAGUGCCAUUGAUACUGCCUGGCUGGAAUGCGGAUGCCGUGGGAGGAAUGUGUGGUGUAGCGGUGAAAUGCAUAGAUAUCACACAGAACACCGAGUGCGAAGGCAUCUCACGAAUCCGCGAUUGACGCUGAUGCACGAAAGCGUGGGUAUCAAACAGGAUUAGAUACCCCAGUAGUC